GACGAACGCUGGCGGCGUGCUUAACACAUGCAAGUCGAACGAAGAGCGAUGGAAGCAUGCUUCUAUCAAUCUUAGUGGCGAACGGGUGAGUAACGCGUAAUCAACCUGCCCUUCAGAGGGGGACAACAGUUGGAAACGACUGCUAAUACCGCAUACGAUCCAAUCUCGGCAUCGAGACUGGAUGAAAGGUGGCCUCUAUUUAUAAGCUAUCACUGAAGGAGGGGAUUGCGUCUGAUUAGCUAGUUGGAGGGGUAACGGCCCACCAAGGCGAUGAUCAGUAGCCGGUCUGAGAGGAUGAACGGCCACAUUGGGACUGAGACACGGCCCAGACUCCUACGGGAGGCAGCAGUGGGGAAUCUUCCGCAAUGGACGAAAGUCUGACGGAGCAACGCCGCGUGAGUGAUGACGGCCUUCGGGUUGUAAAGCUCUGUUAAUCGGGACGAAUGGUUCUUGUGCGAAUAGUGCGAGGAUUUGACGGUACCG
rnacentral:rRNA from 1 species